rnacentral:rRNA from 1 species
UACGUAGGGCGCAAGCGUUGUCCGGAAUUAUUGGGCGUAAAGAGCUCGUAGGCGGCCUGUUACGUCUGCUGUGAAAUCCCGGGGCUUAACCCCGGGCGUGCAGUGGAUACGGGCAGGCUGGAGGCAGGCAGGGGAGAACGGAAUUCCCGGUGUAGCGGUGAAAUGCGCAGAUAUCGGGAGGAACACCGGUGGCGAAGGCGGGUCUCUGGGCAGUAACUGACGCUGAGGAGCGAAGCAUGGGGAGCGAACAGG